CUUUAGCUCAGUUGGUUAGAGCAUCUGACUGUUAAUCAGAGGGUCCCUGGUUCGAGCCCA
rnacentral:tRNA from 1 species